GGACCACAGCUGAGUGGCAGGGCUUUUAAUUCCACUUUGCAGAGUGAUCAAGGUCAACAAACAGGUGACCUUUGACCUCUGGCAGCCUUGAAGAAGAUAGCAGGGGUCACGGAAGCCCGGGUCUCAGGGGCCUGCAGGUGAAAGGAGUUUAACCUGUCAUCACGACUCGUCCCGUGGCUUUCAACAAGGCUGUUCCAAUGCCACCAUCAGUGCUUAGACGCAAAGGCUUAUGGGAAACGUUGUUUCAUACUGUGCCAUGGAUAUUAACAUCUGAGCUUCAAUGGGACAAUUACAGCACAAAUGAGACAGAGUAAGGAAAGUGUAAAAAUGACAAUAUAGUGACGAGACU